rnacentral:rRNA from 1 species
CAUUAUUGAAUCCAAUGGAUGUUGCUGGCCUCUAGGGGCAUGUGCACUCCAAACCAUUUCAAUCCACCUGUGCACUUAUUGUAGUCCCGGAUGUUAAAGUCCGGGUCUAUGUUUUCUAUACACACACUAUAAAAAGUUUAAAGAAUGUCUAGUUGGAAACAUAAAGUUUAAUACAACUUUCAACAAUGGAUCUCUUGGUUCUCGCAUCGAUGAAGAACGCAGCGAAUUGCGAUAUGUAAUGUGAAUUGCAGAAUUCAGUGAAUCAUCGAAUCUUUGAACGCACCUUGCACCCUUUGGUAUUCCGAAGGGUAUGCCUGUUUGAGUGUCAUUAAAUUCUCAACUUCAAAGGAUCCUGUUAUCUUUUGAAGCUUGGACUAUGGAGGUUAUUGCAGGCAAUAAUAAUGUCAGCUCCUCUUAAAUGCAUUAGCGGAACUUUGUUAAGGACCAGCUUUGGUUUGAUAAUACUAUCUAUGCUGUCGCUGUGGACUUUGUUAUGUUCAGCUUCUAAUGGUCUUAGGACUGUCUCUUAUGAGGCAUACAAAUUUAAGCUUGACCUCAAAUCAGGUAGGACUACCC